rnacentral:rRNA from 1 species
AUGGACCGCCUCUUGCUGUCCCGCCCCCCGAUGCCCACCCCCGUCCACGGCGCUGCCACGGCCGCAGAUGGCGACCUCCUCGAGCUCGACGUCCUCUGGCCCGCCUCUUCAGCUCCGGGACUCCUCGCCGCGCUUCCCGAUGAUGAGGCUAAGAAGAAGCAGAAGCGCGCGGGCGGCCCUGCCGUCCGAUCCGCCGCGCGCGCCGUCCCGGAGAAGGCCGCGUUGACCCCGUCUUCGGCGGCGAGGUCGGCUCCGGUGCGCAUACCUUCGGAUGCUGCGGCGCGGAGAGGGAGGUGGUCCCACGUCGUCGUCGGCGGCGACGACGGGGACGCCAUGGUCCCGCCGCACGAGAUCGUCGCGCGGCGCGCGGCAGCGCACAGCUCCGUGCUGGAGGGAGCCGGGAGGACGCUCAAGGGCCGCGACCUCCGCCGCGUACGCAACACCGUCCUGCGCCGCACCGGCUUCCUCGACUGA